CAGAAAUCCCACCUCUCCUUCUGGCUACAGAGCACUUACUUACCAAGCCCAUGAAAUCGAAUGCAGAUCUUCCUGAUGUGAGAUUUACAUGAAUCUAAGGUUGCAGCCACUUGGCCCCACCCCAUUGUUGUGACAGCCCUGAUUGUCCUUGUACACUGCAUCUGAGCAGGGAACAGUCUCAACCUCAUGCUGCCCUCUCCCAUUCUCCUAAA